CAGAACUUCCAGUACUAUGUUGAAUAGGAGUGGUGAGAGAGUGUAUCCUUGUCUUGUGCCAGUUUUCAAAGGGAAUGCUUCCAGAUUUCGCCCAUUCAGUAUGAUAUUGGCUGUGGGUUUUUCAUAUAUAGCUCUUCUUAUUUUGAGAUAUGUCCCACCAAUACCUAGUUCAUGGAGAGUUUUUAACAUGAGGGGAUGUUGAAUUUUAUCAAAGGCCUUUUCUGUGCCUAUUGAGAUAAUCAUGUGGUUUUUGUCAUUAGUUCUGUUUAUGUGAUGGAUUACAUUUAUUGAUUUGUGUAUGUUGGACCAGCCCUGCAUCUCACAGAUGAAGCUGACUUGAUCAUGAUGACUGCCUUUUCACUUAACUGUGUCCUCAUAUGGAAGAGAGGAGAAAAGAGGAGAGGAGGGGAGAGGAUUGCCUCCUUUACUGUAUGUUUUCCACUGAGAUGAAGAUUUUGGUCAUUUCCUCAUUCAUGUUCCUGCUUUUCAAAACCCAAGCAAGAAAGGAAACUUCUACAGUGACUUUCUCAUUAUGAAAUCUUAGCAUUCACUAGUCGGCCAUAAUGGAAAACCAGCCAAAUGGACACAUAUACACUGGUCUGUACCCGCAGAGAAAGAAAUGCAAAUCUCUGUGAUCAGAAAACUAUCCUAUCUUGUACAUUGUUAAAAGUCUGCCUCCAAAAAGUUUACUUCUGGAAUACUGUAAUUGAAUAGAAUCAGGGAUCCUACCUGUGUCCUUCAACUUUCACAUCUUGUCUACUCAAGUAAGGGUUGAAUUUGCAUGACUAUAUCUAAGGUUCGAGGGCUUACCUGUUGGCAGUAGACCCAGUAGUCUAUGAAUGGAAAUGGGCAAACCUGUGACCUCCCAAAACUUUAAUAUGAAAGUUUUGUUUGUGUAUACUCAUGGCAUUAUUCUUUUAAUAAAGAGAUAAUCUAUAUAGUUUUCUUUUUUAAAAGAUACUUUUAUUUCUUUAUUGUUGGGAACUGACACAGCUAAUUUCUUUCUGAAGAGGUUCUUUGGUUGAGAAUGG
rnacentral:lncRNA from 1 species